AGAAGCGCUGCCGCCACCGCAUCACGCAGCUCCUGGCCGCCUGAGCGCUUGUUUGCUGCCUCGUACUCCUCCAUUUAUCCGUCAUGAUAAGCGCCAGUCGAGCUGUAGCAGCCCGUCUCGUGGGCGCCGCAGCCUCCCGGGGCCCUACGGCCGCCCGCCACCAGGAUACACACUGGUUGGUGACUGAGUGAGUUUUUUCUUUUUUAGGAUGGCUGGAAUGGCCUCAGUCAUGAGGCUUUUAGAAUUGUUUCAAGGCGGGAUUAUGCAUCAGAAGCAAUCAAGGGAGCAGUUGUUGGUAUUGAUUUGGGCACUACCAACUCCUGCGUGGCAGUUAUGGAAGGUAAACAAGCAAAGGUGCUGGAGAAUGCCGAAGGUGCCAGAACCACCCCUUCAGUUGUGGCCUUUACAGCAGAUGGUGAGCGACUUGUUGGAAUGCCAGCCAAGCGACAGGCUGUCACCAACCCAAACAAUACAUUUUAUGCUACCAAGCGUCUCAUUGGCCGGCGAUAUGAUGAUCCUGAAGUACAGAAAGACAUUAAAAAUGUUCCCUUUAAAAUUGUCCGUGCCUCCAAUGGUGAUGCCUGGGUUGAGGCUCAUGGGAAAUUGUAUUCUCCGAGUCAGAUUGGAGCAUUUGUGUUGAUGAAGAUGAAAGAGACUGCAGAAAAUUACUUGGGGCACACAGCAAAAAAUGCUGUGAUCACAGUCCCAGCUUAUUUCAAUGACUCGCAGAGACAGGCCACUAAAGAUGCUGGCCAGAUAUCUGGACUGAAUGUGCUUCGGGUGAUUAAUGAGCCCACAGCUGCUGCUCUUGCCUAUGGUCUAGACAAAUCAGAAGACAAAGUCAUUGCUGUAUAUGAUUUAGGUGGUGGAACUUUUGAUAUUUCUAUCCUGGAAAUUCAGAAAGGAGUAUUCGAGGUGAAAUCCACAAAUGGGGACACCUUCUUAGGUGGGGAAGACUUUGACCAGGCCUUGCUACGGCACAUUGUGAAGGAGUUCAAGAGAGAGACAGGGGUUGAUUUGACUAAAGACAACAUGGCACUUCAGAGGGUACGGGAAGCCGCUGAAAAGGCUAAAUGUGAACUCUCCUCAUCUGUGCAGACUGACAUCAAUUUGCCCUAUCUUACAAUGGAUUCUUCUGGACCCAAGCAUUUGAAUAUGAAGUUGAGCCGUGCUCAAUUUGAAGGGAUUGUCACUGAUCUAAUCAGGAGGACUAUCGCUCCAUGCCAAAAAGCUAUGCAAGAUGCAGAAGUCAGCAAGAGUGACAUAGGAGAAGUGAUUCUUGUGGGUGGCAUGACUAGGAUGCCCAAGGUUCAGCAGACUGUACAGGAUCUUUUUGGCAGAGCCCCAAGUAAAGCUGUCAAUCCUGAUGAGGCUGUGGCCAUUGGAGCUGCCAUUCAGGGAGGUGUGUUGGCCGGUGAUGUCACGGAUGUGCUGCUCCUUGAUGUCACUCCCCUGUCUCUGGGUAUUGAAACUCUAGGAGGUGUCUUUACCAAACUUAUUAAUAGGAAUACCACUAUUCCAACCAAGAAGAGCCAGGUAUUCUCUACUGCCGCUGAUGGUCAAACGCAAGUGGAAAUUAAAGUGUGUCAGGGUGAGAGAGAGAUGGCUGGAGACAACAAACUCCUUGGACAGUUUACUUUGUUGUAAUCCAGUCUUCUGGUGGGUUAAGCAAAGAUGAUAUUGAAAAUAUGGUUAAAAAUGCAGAGAAAUAUGCUGAAGAAGACCGGCGAAAGAAGGUGAUUACUUUUUGUCUUCUGAACUUUAAUCUCAGUAAAGCUCAGUCUUGAAAGUGGGAG
rnacentral:sRNA from 1 species